rnacentral:rRNA from 1 species
CUGCAGCUCAAGUGGUGACCACUAUUAUUGGGCCUAAAACGUUCGUAGCCGGUUUGGUAAAUGCCUGGGUAAAUCGUGUAGCUUAACUAUACGAAUUCCGGGUAGACUGCCAAACUUGAGACCGGGAGAAGCUAGAGGUACUCCUGGGGUAGAGGUGAAAUUCUGUAAUCCUGGGGGGACCACCAGUGGCGUAGGCGUCUAGCUAGAACGGGUCUGACGGUGAGGAACGAAGCCCUGGGGCGCAAACCGGAUUAGAUACCCGAGUAGUCC